ACAGAUGGCUCUGCACAAUAUGCAGGUACCACCCAAAAGUGGACAGCUGCAGCACUGUAGCCCCUUUCUAGGACAUCUCUGAAGGACAGUGGUGAAGUGAAAUCUUCCCAGUGGGCAGAACUUCGAGCAGUGCUCCCCUUUGUGCACUUUCCUUGGAAAAAGAAAUGGCCAGAUGCGUGAUUAUAUACUGAUUCAUGGGCUGUCGCCAGUGGUUUGGUCAGAUGGUAAGGGACUUGGAAGAAGCGUGAUUGGAAAAUUGGUGACAAAGAAAUUUGGGGAAGACUUAUGAGGAUGGAUCACUCUGAUUGAUCACAAAGUGUGAAGAUAUUGUAUCUCAUGUGAGUGCCCACCAAAGGUUGACCUCAGCAGAGGAGGAUUUUAAUAAUCAAGUGGAAGGAUAGGAUGACCUGUUCUGUGGAAACCACUCAACCUCUUUCCUCAGCCAUCCUUGUCAUCAUUCAAUGGGCCCACGAACAAAGUGGUCAUGGUAGCAGGGAUGAAAGUUACACAUGGGCUCAGCAACAUAGACUUCUACUCACCAAGGCUGACCUGGCUACAGCCAUUGCUCAGUGCCCAAUUUGCAAGCAGCAGAGACCAACACUGUGCCCUCCAUAUGAUACCAUCCUUCAGGGUGAUGGUAUCCACUAGGUAUCCACUAGGUAGCCAGCUACCUAGUGGCAGGUUGAUUAUAUUGGACCUCGUCCAACAUGGAAAAGGCAGCAGUUUGUCCUCACCAGAAUAGAUGCUCCGGAUAUGGGUUUGCUUAUCCUACACCCAAUGCUUCUGUCAAGACUGCCAUCUGUGGCCACAUGGAAUGCCUUAUCCACCAUCACGGUGUUCUACAUGGCAUUGCCUCUGACCAAAGCGCUCACUUUACAGCUAAAGAAGUGCAGCAGGGGGCUCAUGCUCAUGGAAUUCACUGGUCUUACCAUGUUCCCUGUCAUCCUAUCAAUCCAGAAGCAGCUGGAUUGAUACAAGAGUAAUGGCCUUUUAAAGUCACAAUUACAAUACCAACUAUGCAACAAUACUUUGCAGGGCUGGGGCAGAGUUCCCCAGAAGGCUGUGUAUGCUUUGAAUCAGCAUACAGUAUAUGGUACUGUUUCUCCCAUAGCCAGGAUUCAUGGGUCCAGGAAGCAAGGGGUGGAAGUGGAAGUGGCACCACUCACCAUCACUCCUAGUGAUCCAUUAGCACAAUUUUUGCUUCCUGUUUCCAUGACAUUAGUUCUGCCGGCUUAGAGGUCUUAGUUCCAGAGGGAUGAACACUGUUACCGGGAGACACAACAAAUCUGGAAGUCAAGAUUGCCACCUGGCCACUUUGGGCUCCUCCUACCUCUAAGUAAAACGGCUAAAAAGGGAGUUACAGUGUUAGCUGGGGUGAUUGACCUGGAUUAUCAAGAUGAAAUCAAUCUACUGUUUCACAAUAGAGUACUGGAGGUUUCUAUCAAGAUAUCUUUAAGCCCACUGAUUCUUUCCUUGGCCAUGUCUGAUUUACAGGUGAUAGGUAAUGAAGAUCUUCACCGGAAUUGGCCUCUUGAUCUUGGACUUUCCAGCCUCCAGAACUGCAAGCCAAAUAAACAUAUUGUGUAUAAAUCAUCCAAUCUGUGGUAUUCUGUUAUAACAGCAAAAAGUGAACUGAGACAGUUUAUUCUUUAGGUAGGACUUUUGUUUUCUAAUUGCCUAAUGUCACUCAAUCUCCAAAGUUUUAAAUCCAAACUUUUAGAUUUAUAACUUAUGGACUUAAAAAUCCAUUCCUAUUAGGCUAGUCACUUUCUAGUCCUUUGAGAUAAAGUGAUGAACAAUAUGAAUAUGGCUUUUGCUCUUAUCAUAUGUAUAGUCUAAUGCAACAAGAAGUUAUUGAGAAACGUUAACACUGAAGAGUAAUAUGAAAGGAAGAUUGCAGGAUGCCAAGUCAACCUAUACGAGAGAGGUAUCUAUGAAACAAAAAGAAAUCCUUUCUGAAGAAAUAUUAUUAUAUGAAACCUUCUGUUGGCCAGAAUAAAGAGAAAUCGGGUGGGAAUAUUCUAGGCAAAGUGAGAAAAUGAGAAAAUUCCCAGUGAAGUGUGGAGCACAGGAUGUUCAAGGGACUGCAGAAAGGAUGAUCUUUUGAUCAUCCAAAUCCUAAUCAAAUUAUGGAUGAAAUGGCAUGGAAAAGAGAUA
ensembl:lncRNA novel transcript